rnacentral:rRNA from 1 species
AUCUACAGCCAUGCUACCCUGAACAAGCCCGAUCCCAUCUGAUCUCGGAAGCUAAGCAGGGUUGGGCCUGGUUAAUACUUGGAUGGGAGACCACCUAGGAAGACCAGGUGCUGUAGGCG